GCACCUAUCGACGCAACAUACCCUCUCUCCCCCUAGGCGGUUAGCGGCACGGUGGAGGAACUCGGAGCAAUCCUCUCCUUCCCCACACGGAUGCGCAGAGGAGAAUCUUAGGGCGCCCUCCCGAGACGUUCUACGGCGCCGGCAGCAUCGCGCUCACCGUCGCGCGCCGGAGGCUGAGGGAGGAGUAUUUUUCGGCCGCUUCCCUGCAGCUCGAGCGGCUGUGGCCACCCAGCAAUUCUUCGCGUCGGUCACACCGCUCUUUCUUUCAGCCGGCCAUUUCUCACGCGCCCAUGCGCGUCCCGCUUCGCCGCCGGGCUACCGCGCGAGCUCUUCUCUGCGUGCUGGCUAGCCGGCCACUCCUACACAUGGACUGGCCUGCGCUGUGGGGCUGACCAUGGGGCGGGAGGUAGCAAGAAGGCAGUCAUGGAGCCGCCGGAGGGGUCAGCGGCCUCCACUGCGGUGGAGGCGGCGGGGGAAGCUGCUGCUUCUUUAUCUCUUACCCCUGCAGGGGAGGCAGGAAGCCUAUUGCUUAUGAUUCAUCGAAGGUAAGCGCGCUGAGGUCGCCGUGUCGAGGACGACCCGCCAGCUUCUUCUCGCCGGCGUCGCUCCUCCCAUGUUGCUUUCUUCCGGGCUCCCCUCUAAUCUGGCUGAGGGAGACGUGAAGAAAGUGGACUUUGCUGGACCAUGUCGACGCGCAAGGCGGGGUGGACUCCCCUUCUCUCCAAAUUUCCCAGCGUGGUUUGUUUGCUUCUGUGGUUUGGGUUUCAACUAACCGUUUCCUGUUUGCCUGGGGUAUUUCUGAUGUCUCCCCCAACCUCAGCGUGGCAAAAAAAAUGAUAGGAGAAGCACUUCAGAUAAUACUCAGGAGGUCUCUUUUUGGUGAAUUAUGCAAACUGCUGUUACAGUGAGUUUAUGGAGAAGCCAUCCAGCAUUCUCCUGGUCCCCUUUCUCUUUCAACUCCCGUCUAUGGAGAAUCCACAAGAAUAGCGUGUACCAUCAAUUUCUAAAUCCCCAGAACCGAAUCCAAGGUUGUUCUCUCCAGAUCGAUGUGGUGCUAGGUUAUUUGGCCAACAUCUGGCUCUUGUGUUCGUACACCGAUGGACAAGGAGCGCAAAGCGACUCAAAAGGUACUUCAAGAAGUGAUGGUCUAUCUCUUAUACAUUUGUCUUCUAAUCAGUAUUGGGGAUACCAUGAUGAUCCAAAGGAAACUCCCAACAUGCGCUACAAAAUCAUUGACUUAUAUUAUUGAUGAUAUGUGUGCGUCCAAGGCAUCAGUGGAACAUAUCUUGGGCAUGUGGCGUGGCGCGCAUCGAGUACAGAGAUCAAGGAAGGCGCAAAAAACAUAUAGCAGUUGGAUUUCAUCUUUGUCGAUCGCGAGCAAACACCAAAAUCUCACCUCCAGCAACAGGUCAAGCUGACCUGAAACUCUGAAAGAGAGAAGGAAAGCAGUAUUCCAUCGAAAAUACCAUGCUGAAUGUCUACUGGAAGAGGAAUUAUGGCUGCUUACACAGUUUGAUGGAAUGCCUUUUGGAGACAAAGGAAGAGGAGCCUACAGAGUGGGAGAAAAGAUACCAAGGAAAUCAUCAAAAUGAAGAGCCGACACACAAACAAUGUAUUCAAUUCAGCCAUUUUUUGAGAAAUAUACGUACAUGUUUCCUGCAAUGCAACUCACUAUGUAUUUAGUUCGGCCCUUCUUUUUGAGA